AUUGAACGCUGGCGGCAGGCCUAACACAUGCAAGUCGAGCGGUAGCACAGGAGAGCUUGCUCUCCGGGUGACGAGCGGCGGACGGGUGAGUAAUGUCUGGGAAACUGCCUGAUGGAGGGGGAUAACUACUGGAAACGGUAGCUAAUACCGCAUAACGUCUUCGGACCAAAGAGGGGGACCUUCGGGCCUCUUGCCAUCAGAUGUGCCCAGAUGGGAUUAGCUAGUAGGUGAGGUAAUGGCUCACCUAGGCGACGAUCCCUAGCUGGUCUGAGAGGAUGACCAGCCACACUGGAACUGAGACACGGUCCAGACUCCUACGGGAGGCAGCAGUGGGGAAUAUUGCACAAUGGGCGCAAGCCUGAUGCAGCCAUGCCGCGUGUGUGAAGAAGGCCUUCGGGUUGUAAAGCACUUUCAGCGAGGAGGAAGGCAUUAAGGUUAAUAACCUUGGUGAUUGACGUUACUCGCAGAAGAAGCACCGGCUAAC
rnacentral:rRNA from 1 species